rnacentral:rRNA from 1 species
AGUAAAAGUCGUAACAAGGUUUCCGUAGGUGAACCUGCGGAAGGAUCAUUAACGCAUCUCUGACGGGGAGGGCGCCUGGCUCCGGCUCCGGCCGUCGAGCGGGUACCCGAACCGCUCAACUUCACAAACCCCACGUGCACUUUGACGGCGGAGGCUGCGGGGGACCCGUCCGCCGUGUGCCGAUGCCGGACUCACAAACACGAGUUGACAAGUAUGACAGUGGCCGUUGUGCCGCCUAACACGAAACAACUUUCAACAACGGAUCUCUUGGCUCUCGCAUCGAUGAAGAACGCAGCGAAAUGCGAUAAGUAAUGUGAAUUGCAGAAUUCAGUGAAUCAUCGAAUCUUUGAACGCACCUUGCGCUCCUUGGUAUUCCGAGGAGCAUGCCUGUUUGAGUGUCUUGAAGUCAUCAACCAGUCCCGUUUCUCUGCGGGAAUCUGGUUGGAUAUGGGGGCCGUGCAGGUGCGAGCCUGCUCCCCUCAAAUGUGUCGGUUGGGCCUUUGGGUCGGACUUGACUUGGGCGUUGUACCAUCCUCGCUCUUGCGUCUUGUCGCCGACCCGUCCUGGAAACGGGAGCCCACCCUCGACUGCCAGCUAGAGCGGCAGUCAACCUCUUGAAAUCUGACCUCAAAUCAGGUAGGACUACCCGCUGAACUUAAGCAUAUCAAUAAGCGGAGGA